rnacentral:misc_RNA from 1 species
GAUGAAGAACGUAGCGAAAUGCGAUAAGUAAUGUGAAUUGCAGAAUUCAGUGAAUCAUCGAAUCUUUGAACGCACAUUGCGCCCGCCAGUAUUCUGGCGGGCAUGCCUGUUCGAGCGUCAUUUCAACCAUCAAGCCCCCGGCUUGUGUUGGGGACCUGCGGCUGCCGCAGGCCCUGAAAACCAGUGGCGGGCUCGCUAGUCACUCCGAGCGUAGUAAUACAUCUCGCUCAGGGCGUGCUGCGGGUUCCGGCCGUUAACAAGCCUUAUUUACCCAAGGUUGACCUCGGAUCAGGUAGGAAGACCCGCUGAACUUAAGCAUAUCAAUAAGCGGAGGA